CCUUCGGGUUGUAAAGCUCUUUUGGCAGGGAAGAAACGGUUGCGGUGAAUAUCCGCGACUACUGACGGUACCUGCAGAAUAAGCACCGGCUAACUACGUGC
rnacentral:rRNA from 1 species